UUCCUUUACAGUAAGACUUAUUAUGCCUAGGCCCACCUGUAGGGAGAUGUAAUUUGACCCAGUACAGUAAGACUUCUGCCUAGGCCCACUGUAGAGAGAUGCAAUUUGACCCUGUACAGAAGUGCUAUUUGGCCCCACAUACCAGAAGAUAGCGUAGUAACAUCUAAAUUAUUUUAUGUAUAUAUUUUUUUACGGCAGAGGAAGCAGGUCAAGGGGCAAAGAAAGUACUAUUGAGAAAAGAAAGCUUGCUGUUCACUGUGUUUAUCAGAGUGGCCAAAAGAGAGGUCAGCUUCAGGAGGAGAGGUGUCUCCAUACCCUCCUCUUGAAAGAGUUCAAGUCAUAGGCAGGAGGAAGUACAGACCAAGGAAGACUGUUCGGGAGUUUGCCAUGAAGGGGAUGAAGGAAUGAGGAUGCUGGUUAACUCUUGCAUGAGGGAUUGGGACUGUUGUUUCUUUACUGAUAUCUUUAUUAAUUGAAAUGAAACGUGUUGACUCAAAAAGGUUUAGUGGUUCACCAUUUUGGUACAGGUUUUGUAUCAGUAUUAAUUAUUUAACCCAGGAUUAUUUACCUUCAAUACAUCUAACUAUCUGUCUACUACUACUACUACUACUACUACUACUACUACGGGCCUCCAUCUAUUAGAGUUGCGUUGUGAGCGGUAUAUUCUCUCAUAUCCUUUCACAAAGCAAUUCAUUGGCCCCACCCCGCCAAUGACUGUGGCCGACAACCAUCUUUAUUUAAUAUUACAAACUUUACUAAGCAUUUUAUUUUUAAGCUAACAGAGCUUGUGGUUGAUACGACUAUCAACCGCCGUCGCCUCAAAGUCCAGGUCGGCAAUGUGGGUGGUUUUGGGUGCAGGCGACCUGGUUCCUCUCAGGCAGACCAAGGCUGACCUCAGGAGGGAGAAGGACAGCCUGCAUCUCAUCCAGGCGACCACACUGCUUCUUGGCUGCUGUUUCUUAUCCGCCAGUGUUUCGGCGAGUCUUGCGUAGAAGCUCUGCGCCCUUGGUCCCAUCCCUCCUGCCGUCAAGUCCGGUGUCCCAACCUCACUACAACGCUGACUACUGCCUUAAGUGUGGUAGUGGAGGAUAGAGGCCGAGUGGAGGCUACAGCGGACUAUUCCUGCGAGAAGGGGAGGAGGAUAGUCGGGAAUAGUCAGCGGAAGUGUGGUAGUAAUGGUAUCUGGAGUGGCAGUCAACCGCGCUGUGAAUGUCCAGAGGAUGCCUACAACACCAUAGGCUCCGAUAGUAGUAGUAGUAGUAGUGUGAGUACUACUUCUACUUCUACCGCUAGCAACACCGGGCUCUACAUCGGACUAUUCUUCGGGCUCAUCCUGGCGAUAGUCUUCAUAGGAGUGCUAGUCUACUUCAGAAUGUUUUGGGCGCCCAGCCGUACACGUGAACUAACAGUCUUGGCUUCAGGGCAGGUCGCUAAAAUGAUGGUGGCUCGCGCUAAUUGCAGUUCACUGUAAUUAGCCUGUGGUACCCCGCUGACAACUUUCGAUGACUGAGAAACUGCACCAUCAGCCGCUACACAUUGAGUCCUGCCAGUGAGAAAUGAGUGCAGCCACAUCCCGAGUGUUCCCGUAAUGGCCGUUUGUCUGGCCUUGUGUAACAAAAUGCCAUGGUCUACCAUGCCGAAAGCUUUCGCAAAAUCAAGGAGUGUCGGUGAUUUGAUUGAGGCAGUAUUCCUCGGCAAAGUGCAUGACAGCUUUUGCCUGGGUCCUCAUGUCUUCCGCUCCUCCAUACACACACUCCAAAUUCCAGUCUGUUAGCGGCGGAAAGUUUAAGUCUCCAAGGCAGUGCCAGUGUUUGGAGUGCCACUGUGCCUGGCCGUCCAGCGCUGCCCGGCACACGAUGGCAUCCAGCUGCCCACCAUUGUCAGGGAGUGCAUUGACCAGAUAGAGGUACAUUCCGCCCAUUGGGUAGCGGCAGCAGUGGAGAGCGGAGUCUGGAACAGCUGCAAAGUGUGGCAGAGAUUGAGGUGGAAAUGAUGAAGCAGGAAUCUCGAUUGGCACACCUCCAUACUCAGGUAACCGCCGGGCAGGUGUCUCGGAGCAAGGAGGAGCAGCUUUGGGAGUCUACAGCGGCACCCUACUCAACCCACCACCACCACCACCACCACCCAUAAUGUGACAGUUAUUAGCACGGAGGAAGUGCCGACUAGUGAGACUGGUUGUGUUUCCGACACUGUGCCACUGUUGACGAGUGCAGUGCCGUGAGUGCCAGUGUUAGUGUGGCACCUCAGACGGAGGGUGAUUCGGCACUCCAGG